rnacentral:lncRNA from 1 species
UAUUAGUUUGCAUUUCUAGAAUUUUAUAUGAAUACAACCAUAUGGUACAUAAUACUCUUUCAUGUCUGGCAUCUUUUACUCAAAAUGACUGAAAUUCAUCCAUGUUGUCACAUGUAUCAUUAGUCUGUUCCUUUUUAUUGCUGAGUAGUUUUCUAGUUAUGGAUACACCACAUUAUAUCUAUUCACUUUGAUGAUAAACAUGUAGGUUGCUUCCAGUUUGAGGCUAUUGUGAAUAAAAGUCUUGUCAACAUUCAUGUACAAGUCUUUGUUUGGACAUAAGUUUUCAUUUCAC